CCUACGGGAGGCAUCAGUGAGGAAUAUUGGUCAAUGGCCGGAAGGCUGAACCAGCCAUGCCGCGUGAAGGUCAGUGCCCUAUGGGCGUUAAACUUCUUUUGUGCGUGAGCAAUAAUGGUCACGUGUGGCCAGACGAGAGUACCGUACGAAUAAGCAUCGGCUAACUCCGUGCCAGCAGCCGCGGUAAUACGGGGGAUGCAAGCGUUAUCCGGAUUUAUUUGGUUGAAAGGGUGCGUAGGCUGUGAGGUAAGUCAGCGGUGAAAUGCCCCCGCUCAACGGGGUGAAGUGCCAUUGAUACUGGCUUGCUGGAAUGCGAUAGCGGUGGGAGGAAUGUGUGGUGAAGCGGUGAAAUGCAUAGAUAUCACACAGAACACCGAUUGCGAAGGCAUCUCACGAAUCCGCGAUUGACGCUGAUGCACGAAAGCGUGGGUAUCAAACAGGAUUAGAUACCCUGGUAGUC
rnacentral:rRNA from 1 species